AAAAAGGCAAACCCUAGGUUUCCGUGUCCAACUUUGACUGUCCGUCUUAUAUGAAAAUUUUUUAUAAUUUGUAUAUUCAUUGUUGCUAGAUGAUAAAACAUGAUUAAUAUUUUAUGCGUGACUUGUCUUUUAAUUUUUUUCAUAAUUUUUUUAAAUAAGACGGACGGUUAAACAUUGGGCACGGAAACCAGGGUUUGUCUUUUU
rfam:Oryza barthii chromosome 9, whole genome shotgun sequence.